AUUGAACGCUGGCGGCAGGCCUAACACAUGCAAGUCGAACGAGUGGCGGACGGGUGAGUAAUGUCUGGGAAACUGCCUGAUGGAGGGGGAUAACUACUGGAAACGGUAGCUAAUACCGCAUACCAUCGGAUGUGCCCAGAUGGUAUUAGCUCGUAGGUGGGGUAAAGGCUCACCUAGGCGACGAUCCCUAGCUGGUCUGAGAGGAUGACCAGCAACACUGGAACUGAGACACGGUCCAGAUCCCUACGGGAGGCAGCAGUGGGGAAUAUUGCACAAUGGGCGAAAGCCUGAUGCAGCCAUGCCGCGUGUAUGAAGAAGGCCUUCGGGUUGUAAAGUACUUUCAGCGGGGAGGCGUUAGCCGAAGAAGAAGCACCGGCUAACUCCGUGCCAGCAGCCGCGGUAAUUG
rnacentral:rRNA from 1 species